rnacentral:rRNA from 1 species
UACGUAGGGUGCGAGCGUUAAUCGGAAUUACUGGGCGUAAAGCGUGCGCAGGCGGUUUGUUAAGACAGAUGUGAAAUCCCCGGGCUUAACCUGGGAACUGCAUUUGUGACUGGCAAGCUAGAGUAUGGCAGAGGGGGGUAGAAUUCCACGUGUAGCAGUGAAAUGCGUAGAGAUGUGGAGGAAUACCGAUGGCGGAAGGCAGCCCCCUGGGCCAAUACUGACGCCUCAUGCACGAAAGCGUGGGGAGCAACAAGG